rnacentral:rRNA from 1 species
GUAGGGAGCAAGCGUUGUUCGGAAUUAUUGGGCGUAAAGAGCGCGUAGGUGGUUUGGCAAGUCUGUUGUGAAAGCCCAUGGCUCAACUGUGGAAUUGCGACGGAAACUGCCAGACUAGAGUGCGGGAGAGGAAAGCGGAAUUCCCAGUGUAGAGGUGAAAUUCGUAGAUACUGGGAGGAACACCGGUGGCGAAGGCGGCUUUCUGGACCGCAACUGACGCUGAGGCGCGAAAGCUAGGGGAGCAAACGGGGAUUAGAUACCCCGGUAGUCCUAGCCGUAAACGAUGGGCACUAGGUGUAGGGGGUAUCGACCCCCUUCUGUGCCGCAGCUAACGCAUUAAGUGCCCCGCCUGGGGAGUACGGUCGCAAGACUA